ACGGGUGAGUAACACGUGGAUAACCUACCUAUAAGACUGGGAUAACUUCGGGAAACCGGAGCUAAUACCGGAUAAUAUUUUGAACCGCAUGGUUCAAAAGUGAAAGACGGUCUUGCUGUCACUUAUAGAUGGAUCCGCGCUGCAUUAGCUAGUUGGUAAGGUAACGGCUUACCAAGGCAACGAUGCAUAGCCGACCUGAGAGGGUGAUCGGCCACACUGGAACUGAGACACGGUCCAGACUCCUACGGGAGGCAGCAGUAGGGAAUCUUCCGCAAUGGGCGAAAGCCUGACGGAGCAACGCCGCGUGAGUGAUGAAGGUCUUCGGAUCGUAAAACUCUGUUAUUAGGGAAGAACAUAUGUGUAAGUAACUGUGCACAUCUUGACGGUACCUAAUCAGAAAGCCACGGCUAACUACGUGCCAGCAGCCGCGGUAAUACGUAGGUGGCAAGCGUUAUCCGGAAUUAUUGGGCGUAAAGCGCGCGUAGGCGGUUUUUUAAGUCUGAUGUGAAAGCCCACGGCUCAACCGUGGAGGGUCAUUGGAAACUGGAAAACUUGAGUGCAGAAGAGGAAAGUGGAAUUCC
rnacentral:rRNA from 1 species